UGCCAAAGGAUAAUAGUAUUCCACUGGUCUUAGGCACCAAAAUCCUUGGUGC
rnacentral:tRNA from 1 species